rnacentral:rRNA from 1 species
AUCCUUCAAAGAGUGCGUAACAGCUCACUAGUCGAGUAUCUCUGCGCCGAAAAUUAACCGGGGCUAAGCGUAAUACCGAAUCUAUGGAUUUAUACUUAGGUAUAAGUGGUAGGGGAGCGUUCCAUACAGCAUUGAAGGUAUACCGUAAGGAGUGCUGGAGCGUAUGGAAGUGAGAAUGCCGGUGUGAGUAGCGAGAUGUGGGUGAGAAUCCCACACACCGAACAACCAAGGUUUCCAGGGGAAGGUUCGUCCGCCCUGGGUAAGUCGGGACCUAAGGCCAGGCCGAAAGGCGUAGUCGAUGGACAGCAGGUUGAUAUUCCUGCACCCGCGAGUAAAGUGAUGGAGUGACAGAUAGGGUUAACCCAAGUCCUUAAUGGAUUGGGCAAGGCAAGCAGGAGAGUGGCGUAGGCAAAUCCGCGUCGGAUACUCAAAGGCUUGACUCAANNNNNNNNNNAUAAUUUACUAGCGGCCCGUACCAAAACCGACACAGGUGGUUGAGGCGAGUAGCCUAAGGUGAGCGAGAGAACUGUUGCCAAGGAACUCGGCAAAUUGACCCCGUACGUUAGCAAUAAGGGGUGCUCGAAAGAGCCGCAGUGAAUAGGCCCUAGCAACUGUUUAACUAAAACAUAGCUCUCUGCGAAGUCGCAAGACGAAGUAUAGGGGGUGACACCUGCCCGGUGCUGGAAGGUCAAGGGGAUUUGUCAGACGCAAGUCGAAGCAUUGAACCGAAGCCCCAGUGAACGGCGGCCGUAAC